AUUGAACGCUGGCGGCAGGCCUAACACAUGCAAGUCGAGCGAGCGGGGGACGGGUGAGGAAUGUAUGGGGAAUGUCCGAUAGAGGGGGAUAACUACAGGAAACGGUAGAUAAUACCGCAUACUAUCGGAUAACCCAUAUGGGAUUAGCUAGUUGGUGAGGGAAUGGCUCACCAAGGCGACGAUCCCUAGCUGGUCUGAGAGGAUGAGCAGCCACACUGGGACUGAGACACGGCCCAGACUCCUACGGAGGCAGCAGUGGGGAAUAUUGCACAAUGGGCGCAAGCCUGAUGCAGCCAUGCCGCGUGUAUGAAGAAGGCCCUAGGGUUGUAAAGUACUUUCAGUCGGGAGGCGUUACCGACAGAAGAAGCACCGGCUAACUCCGUGCCAGCCGCCGCGGUAAUUC
rnacentral:rRNA from 1 species